ACUCAUCUACCGAUGGAAAAAAUAUCGCUUCCUUACCAUCGAGAAGCACUGCGGGCGAUGGAUCUUUUAGGGGUAGAUUUGGGCAUCAAUGGAUGGCCCUAUCAUUUUUUUUUCUAGCUGAUGCACCACUACUUCUGAUUUGUGGAAGAAUAGAGACCUAGGGAGAGGAUUUGGGCAACAAAAUGCGGAGAAUUAGAGUAAGGAGUUGGCAUUGAGCUGAUACAUUAUUGAUUUUCAGAGGCAUGAAAUUCACCUUUCAUCGAUCAUCAACAUGCAGGCUUAAUUGUAUGCUUUCAUCAGACUACCAAUACAUGCAUAAUUUAAUGUAGUGCAGUUAUUAAAUCUUCAUAACCUUAAAUUUUGUAAUCUGAAUUUGUUGUUAUUUGGGAUCACAAAAAACCAAAUGCAUACAUGAUUCAAGAAAGCAUCAAGUGGGUCUUUGAAUGUAGAAAAUUUGUCCCCUGAAGCUAUUACAUGUCUUAAUGAUUUUGAAGUAGGUCUUUGAAUGGAUGAGUUUAACUAGAAUUUUUUCAUGUCCAAAUUAACAAUGCCUAUACCGUUCCGUAUUUAUUUGUACUGAUCCUAUCACUGGAACUUGGAUUGCAUUUUACUGACACCUUUGUUGAGUGUUUAUUUGGGUUCAGAGGUGAGAAAUUAGAAUUACUGAAUCUUUGUCUUUCCAGCAAAGGUUACAUACUUUGUAAGUUGUUUUAAUAUGGGCUUAAUCUCUACUCCAUGGAUUAUCCUCCCAGUUUUGUAUUUUAUUGAAAAUUCUAUAUGUUAUUAGCCUUCAACUGGUAUGUUUCUUGGCAAAUCGUUGGGUGACAGAGUUGGCAGCUGUGCUUAGAUCGCAUAUCAGGGAAGACAACGAUUAUUUUCCUGUCUUACAUGCUAAUUAUAUUACUUGAAAUGCAGACGUUAGAGUCAUAGUGCUGAUGUGCUUCCUGUUAUAUCAGUUUGUAAAAGAGUGGUAAUAUGCUACUACAAGGCUUAUGUUUCGGAACAAAGGUAAUAAUAUAAGUUCUUCUCUGUUUGUUUGCUUCGGUCCACUAUCUCUAAGGAUACUCUGUUAUUUUUACCAACCAUUGCACUACUUGACAUUGCAAAACAUGGAUUGCCAUUGGACUUUUGUCUUGCUCAAUUGACAUCAUUUGUCAUAUUUUUAUUUAGUUAGAUGAGUAUUAAUCUUGCUUCAAGAGACCUCACAUUUCCUGCAGUAUGUGUAUGUCAGUGUUUUAUUUUAAGUAUUCGAAUAUUUAUAGAUACCUCUCGCCACUUCAGUGUGAUAACAUUUUCUUUUCAGAUAUAUCUUAAGAUUGCUGGCCACUGCUUAGUUAGUUCCUUUCCAAGUUAAUAGGUAAGGUAGUGUUACUGCGUGCCGAAAUAUGGUAUUUUGGUUCUUCUCUUUGGUCCAGUUUUUUUUUGUACUUGCUUAGUUGACUGAAACUCCCCCAAAAGUUCAUUUUCUGUGCAAUGUCCUCUGUCCUUUAUGAAAGAAUAUGAUCCUUUAUAUUUUGGAAAAAGGUUGGUGCAGUUUUUAUUCUGCGGGUAAUAGUCGUUGUUAGGUUGGAAUGUUAAUAGUUGGAUGUUGAUCAAAGGCUUAGAAAAGUAGUUCGAUUAGGUUCAGUUUUCACAGGGAUAUAAACUCAUCCUAACAUGUCUUGAUGUGUGCAGUUUCACAGACGAUGCGUCGAGGUAGAGGACUCUGCCUUAUAGUCACCUUUUUCAGUGGCUGUUAGCAAGACAUCUACAAAUUAGGAGAUAAGGUUCUUUGUGAAGGUUCUGGAGAUUCAGUUUUGGGCAUUGAUGAUUCCUUGUGUUCUCCAUCUACUCCAUGAUGAUUUUAAAGAGAAAUAAUGUUUAUUUUUGAUGAUAAAGUAGGAUCUUAAAUUUGACAAGACUUGAGUUUGUCUUCUGUGCAUGAUGUUAUCUGCAAGAUGAUAUUUUAGCAAGCAAUAAGCACACUGCAGGGAACACUUUAUGUUGUACCUGUAAGCAUGUUUGAAGCCAUUUGAUGUGCUCAGUGCAAACUGUCGAGAGAAUGAAUUUGCAAGGGAAUAUAUGUUUUAAAACAAGCUCUGAUUCA